CAACCUCCACAGGCUGGCUGGUUCCCAGGCUGGGCCAGGCGAGUAUCUCUUGGAAAGGCUCAUCCUCCAGCAUGACCAAGGGG
rnacentral:pre_miRNA from 1 species